CCGGGAACCGGAGCUAAUACCGGAUAACAUUUUUUCUUGCAUAAGAGAAAAUUGAAAGAUGGUUUCGGCUAUCACUUACAGAUGGGCCCGCGGUGCAUUAGCUAGUUGGUGAGGUAACGGCUCACCAAGGCAACGAUGCAUAGCCGACCUGAGAGGGUGAUCGGCCACACUGGGACUGAGACACGGCCCAGACUCCUACGGGAGGCAGCAGUAGGGAAUCUUCCGCAAUGGACGAAAGUCUGACGGAGCAACGCCGCGUGAGUGAUGAAGGCUUUCGGGUCGUAAAACUCUGUUGUUAGGGAAGAACAAGUACAAGAGUAACUGCUUGUACCUUGACGGUACCUAACCAGAAAGCCACGGCUAACUACGUGCCAGCAGCC
rnacentral:rRNA from 2 species